UGGACACCUGAAAGAUGUGACAAGUGGUGAGUUGUAUUUUCUUUUAACUCCCCCCCCCCCGGUAAUUUUGUGCCUCCCCCCCUCCCCCCCGGGUGCUGAUUCCCAGGCUCGGCGAGACGCGUGUCCUCACGCACGUCCCUGUCUGCGCCGGGUGCUCAGCAGGUGCGGGGGGUGCGGGGCCGGGAAGGGGGACGAGGGGCCUCGGCGGAGCCGGGUGCGGGGCUGGGCUGGGCGGGAGUCCGCGGGCUGCUGGGGGGAGGCUUUGCGGGUCCCUCUGCCGCGGCUCCCGCUGCCAACAAAGCCAGGCGAGCGGUGUGCGGGAGGGGGUCGCGGCAGACAGAGCAGGCACCUGGGCUCUCCCGGGACCGCGCGCUAGACAGUGUCUGAUGCUGCAGCGGCGGCAGCUCCGCUGCAGUCUCCUGCCCCUGCCCCUGCCCGAGGAGGAUGCCUCGCUGCCCGCCCGCAUCAGUCCCUUGUCCUUCCUCCAUCGCACGCGUUUCGCUGGAAAAAACCACGGCGGCUCCGGCAGCCUCCCCUGCGCACACGCAGCCAGACGCAGGAGAUGCCCGGGGAUAAAUAAAGAUGUCGCUCUGCCCCGCGGCUGGGCAGCUCCGGGAGCACAAAAGGCGGUCGGGUCGGGUCGGGUUGGGUCGGGUCGGGUCGUGCGGGGCUCUCGCUCUCGCUCUGCUCCCGCGCGCGGGCGGGAGUGCCAUGAGCAACUGUCUGGUCCGGUGACACGGCCGCGUCGCGCCCGCCGUCCCCUCCGCGCACACGCCGCGGCCGGGUCGCCGCCCUGUUUGGUGCGCUGACAUGUGCCGGCAGCCAGGUGGACGCGGGCGCCGUGCGCGGACCUCUCGCUCCGGUGCCGGGAGUCCGCCAAGUUCGUGUUGUGGGCGGCCCCGAGGCAGCCGGACCCGACACUGCAAGUGUCUGCGAGUGCCCGGGGGGCAGGAGGCCGGAUCCAUGGUUGGUCACUCAAGCAAGACAGGCCUGGUGCUGAGCCCCGCAGCCCCCCGCAGCCACAGGUGCUCAGUGCUUCGCAGCAGCACGCCCCCAGUUUGCACUUCGGGAAAUGUUGGCUGGAAGGAGCUACCAAGAACUUGCACGGGAAAGGCGAGGAAGGAAAACGCCGAACUUCUGACCUGCAGACAUGUGUCGCUGCUCCGAUCAGGGGAAAACAGCAACCCAGCCAUUUUUUAAGUUACCAUAACUAAAUACAUAAAUAAAUACAAUUCCCAGCUUCCACAGGCCAUAGAGUCCAUGUGAAUCUUUUAAUACAAAGUAAACCUAACAUUUACUUUAUUUUUAGUUUUCAAGUGCAGUUUUUUUUAAAAAAAUAAUGCUCAUACCAAGCUCGUUCAGCUGUCUAAACGUGGACUAUGUUUCUGAAUAACUCCAGUUAUUUAUUAGAAUUUUUGUAGGAAAAGGAAACGGCAAAUUUCAAGUUCCUUUGAAUGAGAUAUCUGUCUUUCUCUCUCAUCUCUAAAAUAUAUAUUUAGUGUCGAGAGCAGCAUUACAGAAAUACGUAUGACAUCCCUUCAAAAUAUAACUACUGUUGAGUAGAAGUCCUGAUUGUUACAGCGAAAAUGAAAUUUCCACCAAAUUUGGACAGAAAUGGAGACUGUUACCCAAAAUGUUUCAAUCUUUGCUUGAAAUGAAGUGAAACAGUUGUGUUUACUGUUGCUUAAAAUAUAAAUGGCAAGAUGUGCAACCACCUGUUGAUAAACAAAUGUCAGAAGUCAUAAAUCUAAGGAACAUGCUGGCACCUGUGCAGUACUUGGGAAAAGGAAUAAAUUUCACCAUAAGACUCUUGACUAGACCAACAGGCUGAAGUGACCACUUCAUACUUGCCAUCUAGGCUCUGAGCUGUUCCCCCCUCCCCUUCCUCCCAUGCAGUUUGCUUCUGGAUGCACUGCAGGUGUUGAUCAUCUAUGAAGUCUCCUAACUGGCUUGGCAGUUAAUAAACUAGUGCCUUGAUCCUGCAUUGCAAUGCACAAACAGACUCUUGACUUCAGCAGGGUUCUGACUGGGAAGAAGCAAUCUGUCUAAGAACUACAUGAAGUGGAAGAAAGGAAUAAUACACAGAUAUGCUUUUAGCAUCAAGAUUAUGCUACAUAAACAAGAAAUUUACUUUGGUAUAAUGUGGAUGGCGUUUUAUAAACAUGUAACUAUUAUAGAUCCUUGCCCCAAGAAACAUAAAAAAUGACCAAAUACUGCUCCAAUUGAAGUGAAAAUUGAGCUUGAUAUUGACUUUGUACAAGAGCAGAACACAUUCUAAUAUCUAUAGACUACUAUAUAUCUACACAGCACUACAUAGUACAUUAUUAAUUGUGCUAAUUAAUCUAAGUGGAUGACUGCAAAAAUGGUUAUACUGCUUCCAAGCUCUGAGAGAGCUUGUUUCCACAGCACAGUACUCUGAGACAUAACACAGCUAGGCGUGCCUAUACAUGUGCUCCAACAUGUUUUAAUUAGAAUGUGUCGGAGCACUCUCAAUUAAUCCAGUUUUCUUCAAAUUCUAAUUAGACUGCGCUAGCACUGCCACAGGAUCACAUGCAAAAAUGGUUGCUGGGGUUCUUUAACUAAUGCUCAUCGAAUGAACUUUAGUUAAAGCGUUCCAUGGCCAUUUUUAAAUGCAGGGGGCCUUAAUACACAUGACACUUUGGUGCUUUCCAGGAACCACUCUAAUUAAAGUGCAUCCCCCACACCCGAGCACUUGUACAGGCACCCGAGGUUAGGCAGCAGACAAUAUGUGGACAUUAUGUGGACAGGAUGCAAGGAUUGGAGAAGAGAAGCAGUAUAACAAAAAAUGGGCAGGUUCAACCUGAAGCCUGAUACUUCAUGACAUUUGCUCAUUACACAGCACUACUGUGAAUGUAGUUCUAAUUCUGUACUUCAUAUCCAGGAAAAAAAUUCCAUUGCAACCACUAGGAGUUUUCUGAUUAAAAACUAUGAGAUUAGGUCUUGGAGUAAGAUACCAUAAAGUGUUUGGAGAUCAGAAGACAACCACUUAUACUGAGGAACUAGGCAAAACAGCGGAGAUUCAAGCUUAGUCUGUUCUUGCUUUGCUACAAUCAAUUAGGUUGGUAUUGUUUGAACAUAAUACUAAUGGUCUUAAAAGAAUUUUUUUUCUCUGACUUUUUAAAAAGGAAACAAACUAGCAUGUAUACAACAAAUCUGAAGUGUUACCGUCUAAAAACUGACAACACAUAUAAAAAUAAUACUAAAUUAUAACAAUAAAUAUUAAAUGAUAAACAUAAUUAUGAAAGAAGGCAGACUACUGUGACAUGCUCAGUACUGUUCCUCAAGGUAACAUUUGAUUAGACUCUAAAACAAAUUAGGCAUCUGCUUAGAGUUUUUUUUAUUUUGAAUUAAUGUACUGCAUAUGACCCAACAGUUGGAAAAUCAGAAGUUCGCCACUUAAUUGUAGGACACCAAACAGGAAUACAAACUUCCUUGUCCUACCCACAUGACACUGAAAAAGAAAAUAUUAUUGUAUUCUUUCAUAACAGAUUAAAACACGGUUGUGUUCCUAAUGUAAGACAAGAGUUUUGGACCAUUACUCUGGGAUAGGGAUUUUCUUUUUGUUUUGUAUUUACACAGUUCCUUGUACUAUGGAGUUCUAGUCAAUUACUACAAUAUCUAAGUGCUACAAUAAUAUGGAUAAUGAGUAACAAAUAGUACUUUGAGUACUGCAGUACUUCUCUUUGUUUUAGAGCAUUGUUUGUACUCUAGGCAGUAGCUAUUGAAUACACAUUUUUAGCAUUAGAAGUAAUAAAAAAAAGAAUGAUUACUGCUGACUGAAUCCUAGAGAGAAAACCAUAGAAGUAAAAAAUAAAACAGUAAACCAGAGUCCCUUUAGCAUGCAGGCCAUUUGCCAGCUACUUUUCACAGGAACUUUAAUUUCUGUUGUUUGCUUCAAAUGUAGAAAGAAGAUAAACAUUUUCUUGUUGCAAGUUAACAAACAUGACAGGUUGAUAAGCACUAUCCAGAGUGGUAUUCGGAGCUUCUUAGGUCAUUUGAAAAAAGUUGGAAAUGCACUAAAGAGUUUUAAACUGAAACUAAAAAAUUAAUAGUAGUUGGUCAGUGCUUGAUGUCCUACAGAAGAGUGAUUUCUUCUGUUAGUACCUAGAGCUUUUGCUUCUGUAGACAGCUCUGUCUGUAGAGAAUUGUUCAAGAACUCUGCUAGCUACAUGCAGGGCAUUUACUGUAGCAUUUACUCUAGAGUAACCCACCUUGGGCAGGCGUCUACACAUGCAGGGAAGGAGGAACAGAUUUGCUGCUUGUGGCAGCAGUCUGCUCCUGCCCCAAAUAGCCCUGCAUCAGCCCCCUGCAGCAGCCUGGGGGAGCUCUAGGCUGGGGUUGACUCUAGGCUGGGGCUGACAGAUUGCUCCCAGCCCCUGGGAGCUGCCUGCCAGGAGCCUGGCCCUUGGCAGGAGCCCGGGUGGUGACAAUAUCCUCCUGUCCCGGCAGCAGGGAGCUCCCAACCCCUGCUCUGUGAUUGCAGAGCAGGGGCUGGGAGUACCCUGCUGCUGGGGCAGGGGGACAUUGUCCCCACCCAGGAUCCAGUGGCAGAGCCUGCCCUGGCAGCAGGAAGCUCCUGGGGGCAGGGAGCAAUCUCCUGCUCCCUGCUGUCUGGCUGACCAGGAGCACAUUUACUCCCAGUCAGUCAUCUACAUUUGACAUACUGCAUAGUAAUUACUCCUGAGUAAAUUUGCUGCUUGUAUUUACAAGCAGCAAAUUUACUUGCAAUUAGAGCAAAUUACUGCACAGUAAGCAUCUGCAAGCAUAGUUGGUGAUGCUUACUGCACAGUAAUUUGCUCUGAUCUUGAGUAAAGCGUCUCAUGUAGACAUGCACAAAGAAUACAUCAUUAUGAGGUAGUAAUCCAUGUUUUCUAGCAAUCUAAAUAUAGGGGACUGCUAUAGCCAAGCAACUCUACUGCACCAAGUGGGAUUACUAGAGUAUAAGAGAACAGAAUUUAGCCCAGUGGCUUUCUUUAGAUUAAAAAUAUUCAGUUUAUGCAGUACCCUGGGCCUCUGCACUUUAAGUGGAAAGGGUUUGGGUUGUGGGGGCUUGGGAGGUUAAAAGAAGGGAUAGUAUAGACAGGAACUCAGCAAGUUUCUCCUGAACUCCCCUAUAUAAAGCACCUUGAUUCUUACCUGAAUUUUUGGUGAGGCAGACAAAUAUCAACUAAAAAAUACAUUGAUACUUCAACUCCUAAGUCUAUAUUAGAACUCAAGAUUUCCAAAGGUAAAUUAUAUUAAAGUGUUGCCACAUAUAUCUCAAAUAUAGUCCAUGUUUAUCUUUUCUCAGUGACAUACACCAAUAAAAUAUGAUUAGGGACAUAGAGAUAAUGCAUGGUAGUGUGGAAUAAAGGUUUUAUUGGCAAGAACCUGGAAUGACUGUAUUAAUUACCAGUUGGGAAGUCACAAGUCAGCUAGGAAAAAUACUUCCAUGCAAGUCCCAAUAAAGCCCUUUAUACUAUGCCUCAUGUAAUUUCUUUUUCAACAUAUUUUAUAGAGAAGGUACUCUGGAAAAUUUUAAAGAGUUUUAAAAGAAAAAAAAUAUGUCUGUGCUAUUUUAAAUAUUUUCUUGCUUAUAAAUACAGAUUCUCUAAGCAAAGUGCAAGCAUUUAUGGUUUUAGAUAAAUACUACUACUAUAUGUACAGAAGAUAAUCAGUGUUUUAGGAAACCGAAAUUGUGUGGAAAUCUAUGACCAACAUGGCUUUCUAAAGUAAUACAGAUGAGUUAUGUUUAUGCUGUGUCUUGUGAAUUGGCGUAAAACGGAAAAAGAAAAUCAGUAGGGAUGGAAAGCAAUGUGGACUUUAGCAAGAAGUGAUCCACAACCAAGGCUAAUAUUUUUAGGUUAUUUGCAAAGAAUUUCAUGACGCUUAUAAGUCUGGGUUAGGCCUGGUCAUUCUCUUUGAAUGUGGUUGCUUGGCAUUGGAUAAUAUGGAUACCCUUGGCUAUUUGUAUGAGAAUUGUUUCCUGUGUCUAGGUUUCCCACUGAGAGUAUACAAGGGAAUACUCAAAAAAUCUUUCAAGACUUCCUCUUUAUUUAGUGCAAAGCCACAGGAGAAGAAACAUGCAUAGGAUGUUUAUUGAAAAGAUUGAGAAAGUGUUGCUCUUCCAAAUGAAUGUUCAUGAGGACUAUAACACAAAUUGGAUGACUUGGUUGCAGGAACCAGUCUCCUGGAAAGGAAGCAGCAAAAUCUAGUUUUGGUUCUAUGCAUUCAGAAACAAAAUACCUUUUAGCUGCAAGAGGGAAGUUGUUUAUUGACAGCUGGAUAUCCUGAGCAGCCAAGCAAAUGUUGUAGUAGCAAUACAAAAUAUUUCUCAUGUUAACACUGUUUGCCUUGUACUUGUGAUAUUUUUACAACUGCAUUCCACUUAAUACACAGGGAUCAAACAGUA